UGCUUCCGCUUUUGUUUUGGUGUGGGUCCCACCCCAUUGGAUGGUGCUGCCCACAUUGAGGGUGGGUCUUCCCCACCCAUUUGCUAUCCGCUGUGCCAAUCAUCUCUGGAUCCCGCCUACAGGCCCUCCCAGAAGGGUGCUUUCCUAUGGCCUGUGUGAUUCUCAAUCUGAUCAGGUUGACAAUGAUUGGAGGGGAAAUUCCCCGUCUGCCUUGCUCUGGGCGGAAGUUUCAGUCCAGGCUCUGAGCUGCGCCCAGGCGGAACUGGUGUGUUUGUUUCCCUGACCAGGACCGCCGAACCCGAGUGCGCACCACAGGCGUUCCUGUCCCGAUGACUGUUACACACCCGCCAGCUCUCACACCGCUGGUGCAAGCGCUACGUUCUUGGUGUCGCCACUGGCAUCACACCCUGGUGGCAGGACGCCUGCGGUCUCGAGUUGCGACUCAACGGAGCGAACUGAACAGCUGCCCCACUCCCGAGGAGUGUGCGGCGUGGCACGUCGCGUGGAAAUCUAGGACAACAACAACAACGGUGAUGAUAAAAUGGGGAGCACUUGAAGACCUUCAGCAAACACAUGGUGUCCAGCAGCACUUCCCUGCUUUCCUGCAAUCACGUUCCCCUCUUGGGGCAGCAGAU